CUCCAGGGUUGGAGCCCCUGAAUGGAGCCUCAGAUGGGCGAUGUGAAGUGGAGCUGUGAGAGGGAGGCCACAGUGGAGAUGCUAGAAAGCUGGUUAGUGGCAACGUGAGACACCCACUGAGAUAAAGCUGUCAACAGCGUUCCACGCAGAGUUGCAGAGAGGGAGAGAGCGAGAGAGAGCAAGAGAGAGCGAGAGAGGUCUUCCAUCCGCUGGUUCAUUCCCCAGAUGACCACAACUACCAGAGCUGCACCAAUCUGAAGCCAGGAGCUUCUUCCAGUUCUCCCACAGAAGCUUCACGAAGUUCAGGACAUUUCUGCAAGUGAGAUCAGCCAUUGAAUCCAUCCCUAUAGAAUUGAGACUCCUGAAAAUUUAACCAUGUCAGUGCCGUCUUUUUGACUGAAGAAAAUGUGCCUUUUUAAGCUUUCUUAAGAUCAGAAACAUAAAAUCAGAAGUAGCCAAAUCAAAAACUGUAAGGUGAAUGCUUUAUAAUUUCUUGUUGAAACUCACAAAAUCACCCUUGUUGAAUGAGAGAAAGAGUAGGAGCAUUGUUAUGGUGGAUAGAAACUCUGGUGGAAUUUCUCAUUUUUCUGCUUAGGCUUUGCCUAACUUUACCAAAAUACCCUCCUAGUAAGCUUAUGCUACAGUUUCUGGCCUUUUGGAAAACAAACAAGCAAAAUGAAUGAACAUCCCAAAAACCUGUUUCUGAGAAAUUUCCUUUUGACUGGUCUGCUUUUGCUUUGACUGAAGCACUUUUCACAUUUUGAUAGUCAUUGCUUUUUUUUCCCCCAAGAUGAUACCAGUAAUCCCAUGUUUCGUUUCCCAUUACAGUUCUUCAAAGAAAUUCUUCAGGGUCUUGAUCUCACUUAACAACUUCCUCUGGAAGUUCUGCUCUUGCCUGGAGUUGAUCUAGGUGCAGCAGUUAAUGGCAUUCAUCGAGUACAAAGUUUGCUCCACUUUAAUCUCCCAGUCAGAAUUGUGUAAGCUGACCCAGCUGAGAUGUCCGUGGUGUUUGGGAAGCGGUUCUGUUAUUAAUUGCCAGUUUUCAAUUAGGGCAUGAACAAGAUUAAUUUUUUUUCUCACAAGUUGGUGUGGAUGGGCUGCCACUGUGAACCUCAUCUUCAGUGUCAUCUUGUCCCUUCUUAAAAUGAAUUACUGAAGUGGGUGUUUGGUGCAGUGGGUAAGACACUGCUUGGGGUAUCCAUGUGCCAUACAAGAGUGUCUAUUCAAGUCUUGGCUCUUGCACUCCUCAUUGUUUCCUACUAUUGUGCACCCUGGGAGGCAGCAGAUGACAAAUUUUUGGUCCCUGCUUCCAACAUGGGAGAUUUGGAUUGAGUUCUGGGCUCCUGGCUUUGGUCUACCCUAGCCUGCCUCAACAGGCAUUUGGGGAAUGAACCAGGAUUUCUUUUUUUCUGUUUCUGUGCCUUUCAAAUAGAAUGAAUGAAUGAAUGAAUAACUCAAGCAUAAGACACAAAACAAAACAAAAAAACGAGUUACCCAUUUGUAAACUUGAUUUCUUUGGGGCAUUGUCACCACACACUUGUAAUACUGCAUGAAUGGUUUCACCAUUCUUCCGCUGAAGCUUCAACACAAGUUGGAUGUCUAUUCUUGCUUCGACUGUAGCAUAACUCAUGGAGCUCUGAUACAGGCUGUUUUCAAACUGAAACUUCUUGUACCUCAAACUGGAUCCUGUUCAGACAGGUUUUGACAAGUUAGUACAAGUAUAUUUGGUGAAAUCCUUAGAUAGUUUUCCCAUACAUAUUUUUUGGUGAACUUUUUGAAGAUUCCACAUUAAAUACUUGUUUAAUGACUAAUUAAGUGAAUAAGUGGUUUUUUCAUUAAACAUUCAAAAUAUGGCUUCAAUAUGAAACUGAUGUGAGGAUUUUGUUGUUCUAGGUAUUCCAAAAAAGGAAUUAAAUAAUCUGUCCCUCUUGUCCUGUGUUGGCACGGCUGACAACUUUGAUUCGGUGUAUACAUGCACAUAAAGAUUUUAGAGGGGGUUGUUUUCAUUUUUAGUGUGAUAGAUUUGUGAUAUAGAAGUCUUUUAAGUGAAUUUAUUUACCAAAUUACACGUUGGACUUGAAGUAAAAUACAUAAGACUAAAUACUAAUCUUUAAUUAAAUUAAAGAUCUGAAUUGAGAUAGUUUCACAGAAUUUUAUCAUAAGUAAAAUAAGCCAGUUCUCUCCAAAUUGGCUUCUGUUAAAUAUUGACCCCAUACUCAGCCUGUAUGUAGAAGGAUGUAAUUUUUUCCAGUAUGCACCUGACAGUGUACAAUCGCAAUAGCCUCUUUCUACCCCAGAAUUUGGUGGUUCUCAUGCUGCUGGAACUACGUAAGAUUCCAACGAUAGUUGUUAAGUUCCCUGUGGACAAAGCUCUGGCUCUACUAGAGGGGGCCCAUUAGGCUGGAGGAUCAGAGCUAGACUUGUUUUGAUGUUAUUGCUACAGUAGUCACUGACUUGGCAGCUCAGGGAGUAACCUUUUCAGUGGUAAUCUGUAAUGUCAAUCCCAUAUCAAAGCAAAAUCCUCACUUUGUUGUGUACUGAUCUCCAGGAUACUCUCACCUGGCUCAAAUGCCUUCAUCAGGUGGCUUGGUUUUUCCCUCUGCAAACCCUCAUCCCUUUCAUCUCCAUAAUAACUUUUGAUAACUCUUCCAGCUCUCCAGUCUGAUUUAUAUAAAUUAUAACCUCCAAUUUAGAGAUCAAAAACACUCAAAACUGCUUAUUUCCUGACCUCAAAACUCUAGUAUGUGAGGAACUGAUGUUCCUGUUGAGAUGGAAAGAAUGAGUAAAAUUAGAAAGGUAAAAAAAAUGGGGAAAAUGAUCCUUUUGAUCACUGAGACGAAUAGCAUUUCUGAAGGACUGGGAGUGAGUGAAAGAACUGGAGACAUUCAGAAUGGCAGGGUAAAAGGUGAAAAAGUAGGGGCAAGGUAAGAAGAAUAGAGAUAGGCAGUUUGAGGCUUUAGGAGCCUUGGCAGCCAUAUUGAGGAGUUUGGACUUUAUCUCAAAGCUAUCAAAGGGUUUCUCAGGAGGACUGUACCAACCUGAAACUAUCUUACUCUAUGGGAAUUAGUGUGACAGCAUUUUGCCUGAGUGUGAAUGGGUAAGAGACACUGUCACCUCUUUCAUCUCCCAAUCUCCCACCCUUUCCUUUCAAUGACUAAAGAAUGCCUUCUCAAACAAAAAGGGAGAGACAGUAUUUUCUUUAUGUUUAAAUUUAGUUCCAUGCUAUAAAUUUCUACCGAUAUCCAGGGACAUGAACUGCUUUCUUUUAAGAAGAUCCUACAAAAGGGCAAGCUAAUGUUUUCUCCAGACUUGUGUUUUUGGUAUGCUGUUAGUACCAACAGUCCCUAUGGUUACACACUGUGUUCCCCAGAGCACUUCCUUCUAGCUAGCAGAAGUAGAAGGAAAAGAAUGGAGGAGAUGGCAGGGAAAGGCCCAGGAAGCAGUCUUGUUGGGAAAAAUAAUGGGGUCAAGAAUAAUGGAUGAAAGAAUGGCGUGUGAGACAGACAGGCAAAGCCAGGAGGAAUAAAAAUGUGCUAAAAAGGACUCAAAAGGUUGGGGGAAGAAUCUAUCAAAGAACAUGGAAGACAAAAAGUAAUAUGAAGAUAGUCAAAAUAAAUUUUGUUUUUCUUUCCUGAAGUGCUCUGCAGAGCAGAAAGAAAAUUUAGCUGUGAACUUAAGGCAUUUAGAGUUAUUUUAAUGCUCCAGUUUUUGGCACCAAGAUUUGGCUGUCAAAUCUAUAUGAUGACAUGGAUUUCCCCACAUCCCAACCCUCAGAAAGAUGGUUCUUCAGCUUUUUGGAACAUGAGAUUUUUUUUUUUAAGAAUCUGUUAAGAGCUGAGGGUCCUUAUUGCUAGGGGAAAAUGUGCUUUUAUACAAGAUGGUGCACGUAUAAUUUUAAUGGUUUAUGGAUAUAGGCACACAAAAGCCUAUUUGUAGACUCGAGUAUUCUCUGAUGAAGACUGGAAUAAAAUAUUUUACCCUCAGUUGACUGAAGGGCUCGCUGACAAGAAAUCAUUCUUUGUAGAAAAGAGUCAUGACAUACUGAAAUGGUGAGCAUUGGGAAGGAUAGAGUUUGGACUUCAUUCUAUACUCAAAGAAAAUAUUAAAGCCUUCACUCUGUUUAUGUUAUAAUACAAAUUAGAUAGAACAGGGCUGUCAGAUCGACUUGACAACCCCUGCUUACGCAUUUUCUCCAAGGGCCCAAGUGAUGUAAGGGAAAGUGAAAAUUGUAGCUGUCAGCUGAUUUACUUUAUGUAAGUUACUUGCCUGGUCAGAAGCAAGGUGUCUUAGAGACCACAGGGCACAGAGGGUGGAGGCAGCGGGAGGCAGGGCAGAGAGAGCACAAGUGAAGGACUGGGAAUUGGGGAGAGAUUCAGACAUCUGCAUGUGAUGAAUAAGUGAUGAACACGGGACAUAUAGACAGAAUCAUGAAAGAGCACAAACACAUACUUGACUUGGUAUAAGGGUUCUGUAUGGCAUAAAUCUUGAAGCUCAAGAGCAAAAUUAAAAAAAAAACAGAUUGCUAAACACAGUGUGGACUCCAAGUAGAUUCUACAAUAAAGUUCACUCAUGAAAAAUCUGAGGAAAUCUGAAUAAAGUUUAUGGGUUAGUGUAUCAUAUAAACUCAGUAUUCACUUCUUUACCUUCAUAAAUGUUGCGUGGCUGACUAGGGGAAACUGGGUAAAGAAUAUAUUGGAAAUCUCUGUUCUAUCUUUGAAAUUCUUCUGUAAAUCUAAAAUUAUUUCAAAAUAAAAAGAUAAUU